rnacentral:rRNA from 1 species
AAGUAAUGAAGUUAUUUGAUUUGGCAAGAUAUGUAAGUCAAUUGAAAAGUUAAAAAUUAUUGGCGGUGUUUAGUUAUAUUCUGAGAAUCUUGCUAAAUUAAAAUGAUAUUACACAAUUUAUCUUAUCUUGAUUAUUUAGUUUAUGUAUUGCUGUUAAAUUUAUUAUUUAUUAUGAAUUAAAAAUAAGUUUUAUUUGUUUAGGGCAAAGAAUUCAAGUCAAAAUGUAGUAAUAUUAAGGUUUUAGUGAGUUGCGUUUUUCUAGAGAGUAAAGAGUUUAAAAAGAUAUGAAAUUAUUUUUAAAAUUUGGAUUAGGAGGUAAAAAGAGAGUAGUUAGCUUUUUUGAUAUAAUUUACAUUCAAGUACAUAUCGCCCGUCGC